rnacentral:rRNA from 1 species
UACGUAGGGGGCAAGCGUUGUUCGGAUUUACUGGGCGUAAAGGGCGCGUGGGCGGCGCGUAAAGUCGGACAUGAAAUCAUUAGGCUCAACCUAAUGGCUGUGUCCGAUACUUACGUGCUUGGAGUGCGGGAGAGGCAGCCGGAAUUCUCGGUGUAGCGGUGAAAUGCGUAGAUAUCGAGAGUAACACCGGUGGCGAAGGUGGGUUGCUGGACCGACACUGACGCUGAGGCGCGAAAGCUAGGGGAGCAAACGGG